UUCCUAAAAGCAGCCUCUCUCUUAUAUACAUUAGGACCAAACUCAACUGAUUCACCUCAAGCAAUCACGGCUUCUUCAACGGGUGAAGAAGUAGAACUUUCUUUCGCCUGGUUACGAUCCGAUCUGUCUAUUCUAUGAAAUUUCGAGUUAGCGCGAAGUGGGAAAAGAAAGAGAGAACAAGCGUUAUCGCAUAAACCUCGAGGCGAAUCUAUCUAAAAAAAAAACGAGAUGAGAUCCUGUGGCCGAAGUACCAAACCCAAAAAGAACGAGUUGAAUCGGAUUCUCGCUCAAAGCCUAUUCUC
rnacentral:lncRNA from 1 species